UCCUUUGAGUUAAGGAUUUGAUCAUAUUUGCUAUGAGUUCCGUGCUCGAGGGCGGUCGCUCCCCCUCGGGCGAUGCGCUCCGGAGUUUUUGCAUCACGGGUUGGAGUAAACCCGAAGGACGGUCCUAGCGGGUGAGUUCCUCCGAUGAUGGACUUAAUGUGAAGCAAGUUAAUGUGGCGAAACCCCCGGGUUAGCCUUGAGAUUAAAGAACAAAGAACAAAGAACGAGAACAAAGCGUAAAGUGUAAAGAACAAAAGAAUUUGCAUAAUCUGCAUAUAUUAAUGUUGAGCAUAUUUUCUGCUUAUUGUUCAGGCAUAUUAGCAUCAUAUUAUAGAUUGGUUACUAUAAACAGUUUAUCUUUUCUAUUAUGCCUGAGUUAGUCCUAGUGGGAAAGUCGGUGAAGUUGAGGCCAAACCCACUAGAAACUUUGUUGUAGUUCUCACCCCACUAUUUCCACAGAGCCGGGAUCGAGCGAGCCGGCGAGCGACCGAGGUAAAGGUAUCGCGCCUUAGACAGAGGCCACCAGAGUUGAGUUGGGUUUACAUUUUGUUAGUAGAGUACCCUAUAUUCACCUUUUGUAUUUGAUGACUAGUAAUGUAAAGAAAAGAAUGUAAAGCUCAUUUUGAGGUAAAUGUGAUGUAAAAAGAAAUGAUGCAAGCAAUGUAAUGUAAUGAAAUGUAAAGAAUCAAGAAUGAAAAGGGAUACAUGUAUGUGAUCAAAAUGAAUCAUAGUACUUGUGUAGUUGCGU
rnacentral:lncRNA from 1 species